rnacentral:rRNA from 1 species
UACGUAGGGAGCUAGCGUUGUCCGGAAUUAUUGGGCGUAAAGAGCUUGUAGGCGGUUUGUCGCGUCUGCUGUGAAAUUUCGGGGCUCAACCCCGAACUUGCAGUGGGUACGGGCAGACUAGAGUGUGGUAGGGGAGACUGGAAUUCCUGGUGUAGCGGUGAAAUGCGCAGAUAUCAGGAGGAACACCGAUGGCGAAGGCAGGUCUCUGGGCCAUAACUGACGCUGAGAAGCGAAAAGCAUGGGGAGCGAACAGG